rnacentral:rRNA from 1 species
UACAGAGGUCCCAAGCGUUGUUCGGAUUCACUGGGCGUAAAGGGUGCGUAGGUGGUUGGGUAAGUCUGAUGUGAAAUCUCCGGGCUCAACCCGGAAAUGGCAUUGGAUACUAUUUAACUCGAGGAUUGGAGGGGGGACUGGAAUACUUGGUGUAGCAGUGAAAUGCGUAGAUAUCAAGUGGAACACCAGUGGCGAAGGCGAGUCCCUGGACAACUCCUGACACUGAGGCACGAAAGCUAGGGGAGCAAACAGG